rnacentral:lncRNA from 1 species
CCUUCCACACCUUGGACCCUGUUAGUGAGUUUUUUGAGUUCCGCAGCCAACUUCUAAAGGAAUGAAUCUGAGUCUGAUACAUCCGGUAUGGGCUAUGUAUAAUGGGGCACAGAAUCAACAAAGAUAGGGGUAUCCUGGUAGUUUGGAGCAUUCUGAGGCUCAAGGAUGAGCGGUGGAGCAUUGUUGCGAACCUGGGUUGGAGUCUUCUGUGGAGGUGCAGCGAUCUUCUUGUUGACAUCUGCAGCAGCAAGGGAGAUGGAUAGACUUUCCAGACUCCGG